rnacentral:rRNA from 2 species
GGACUACUCGGGUAUCUAAUCCUGUUUGCUCCCCACGCUUUCGUGCCUCAGUGUCAGUAUUAGUCCAGAAAGUUGCCUUCGCCAUUGAUGUUCCUCCCGAUAUCUACGCAUUUCACCGCUACACCGGGAGUUCCACUUUCCUCUACCAUACUCUAGAUAUCCAGUAUCGGAUGCAGUUCCCAGGUUAAGCCCGGGGAUUUCACAUUCGACUUAAAUAUCCACCUACGCACGCUUUACGCCCAGUAAUUCCGAUUAACGCUCGCACCCUCUGUAUUACCGCGGCUGCUGGCAC